ACAGAAACCGUCUGGCAAUCAUUAACAACUGCUUACUGCCGGGGAGCAAAAUGCAGGUUUUAAAGACAAGAACGCUAUUUUUAUAAACAACCAGGACGGCAGUAGAAGAAAAUCUCUGCUUAACAUUGACCAGCCCGCUGCUGUGUAUAAACCGAUCCAAGAGGAACCAGUUAAGCUGCUACGUGAACAAGAUUUCAGCAUCAAACUGUGGGCAGAUUCCCUUCCAGCUUCGAUGCCGCCUGUCGGAAGAUACACCAUCAUUUACGUGUCACUACAAAAGAAACGACAUGCUUCCAGGUAAACUACGAAACGGUACUUCCUUAUCACACUGACGGCAAGAGGCAGCCCGACUUUCAGGAUGUUAAAAUGUGAGAGGAGCGUGCAUGUUGGAAAAUUAUAAAUGAUGGGCCAUCCCAGUUGGGAUGAAAUCACGGAUCUGUAUUUGCAUCAUUUGGCCGUGCGCAUGGUGCACUGUAAUUACGUUUUUGCCCUUGAAUGUCUCCUCCUCCCCCUGCCCCCCCAACCCUGGACUUGAUCCUGUUUUAAUUGUGUGGUUCUUUGGGUGUUUAUGAGUGACUCGCCUCAGACUCUCCUCAACAGGAGAACAUGUUGGGAUCUCAGUUGCGUCUCCCUCUGGGGACAUCUUUCUGGAUGGUCCUGCUUGGAGCUUCCCUUCAGCAUCACCCUGGGUACCCUCUUUCCUUCUCUCCUUCUUUGGAAUCCCUGUUUCCUGGCACUCUUAUCUCCUUUCUUGUGUAAUUAUUUUUUUUCUUUUUAUGGCUGCGCCUGUGGCAUAUGGAGGGUGCCAGGCCAGGGGUCCAAUCAGAGCUGCAGCUGCCGGCCUACGCCAGAGCCACAGCAACACAGGAUCCGAGCCAUAUCUGUGACCUACACCACAGCUCACGGCAACGCCGGAUCCUUAACCCACUGAGUGAGGCCAGGGAUCCAACCCAAAACUUCAUGGUUCCUAGUCGAACUCAUUUCCACUGUGCCACAAUGGGAACUCCGGUAAUUCUUUGUUUUGUUGGAGCACAUGCCCCAGUAGAUUCCUGAGAGAGGGUUCAUGGCAGGUAGAUGUUUGGGCACCUUGUAAGUGUCUUCAUUGUACUGUUGUACUUGACAGCUUGUCUGGACAUAGAACUCGACUUUGGAAUUAAUUUUGCUUCGUGUUAGAGGCUUCCCGCCAAUGUCCGGUGAUUUACUGCUCACAGUAAGGUGAGGUGUGGGAAGCUUGUUGGGAUUCUGCAGCUAUCUGGAGGUUUCCCAAGGGGACCGUACUAGGUCAGUCUCUGCAAGUCUUUCCUCUUGGACUCGUUGCUCCUCUAAGAGAUGGAUCAUCUGAUCUUCUGUCUAGGGGGGAGAAGCCUCACUGCCAGCAUCCUGGGAGCCAAGACUAGGGAGGAGACUGCAGGCUGUUACAAUCCAAAAUGCAGACCGUCAUUUAAUCCCAUUUCAGCAGUGGGUCACCUACCUGCCAGCUCCCCAUUGCGUCUGCUGUCCAGAUGAUCUGGUUCACCCUUUUCUCCCAGGGCUGGGCAGGGCAUGGCCUGGCUGCGCAGGCGUUGGGGAGAAAUGUGAGGCACCUCCUUGUUCCCUGCACACACUUUCAGCACAUUUGUUUUCAGCGCACCUGCACCCAUGCUCUGUACGGAGGGGGCCAAUUUCUCUUUCUUUCUAGGGUUCUGUGGAAGCUGGUUUGCUUCUUCCAGGCUUCCCUCCCUGUGAAAGUAUCUUCUCUGCUAAACUAAUGACCUCUCAUUCAUCGACUUCUAAAAUUUCUAGGAUAUUGUUGACCUUUUGGUCUGCUGUUGUCUGCAGUCCUGUUCCCUCUGUGUCUUUAUGGGUCUAGACAAGGUGUGCUGGCAAGUCGCCCGUCAGGAAAGGGGGCGCCCUGACGUGAAGAGUCUAGUUUCGGUGAUGUGAACGCUGCUGCUGUGGCUGUUUCAAGCAAGCAAAAGACGUCACUGAACGUGCAGACGUGAAGAAGUGUGGAGUAGCACUCGUUAUGUACUGUUUUCAGCACAAUCGAUAGAGUAGAAAUCAACACUAGCUAUAAAUAACCUCAGGAGAAUGUAUAGUUGUAAAAUUACUAUGAAGUGAUAAGUUUUGAGAAUUUAUUAGCUUUGUCUUUGAUGGAAUUUUAAAAAUGGUAAGCUUGUAUAAUUUAGUUUUAAAAAUAGCUGUACGUGGGAGUUCCCAUUGUGGCUCAGUGGUUAACGAAUCCGACUAGGAACCAUGAAGUUGCAGGUUCGGUCCCUGGCCUUGCUCAGUGGGUUAAGGAUCUGGCGUUGCUGUGAGCUAUGGUGUAGGUCGGUGGCUACAGCUCUGAUUCGACCCCUAGCCUGGGAACCUCCAUAUGCCACGGGAAGCGGCCCUAGAAAAGGCAAAAAGACAAAAAAAAAAAAAAA
rnacentral:lncRNA from 1 species